rnacentral:rRNA from 1 species
GACGAACGCUGGCGGCGUGCUUAACACAUGCAAGUCGAACGGUGAAGCGCCUUCCUUUUUGGUGGGUGUGGAUGAGUGGCGAACGGGUGAGUAACACGUGAGUAACCUGCCCCCUUCUUCUGGAUAACCGCAUGAAAGUGUGGCUAAUACGGGAUAUUCUGUGUCUGUCGCAUGAUGGGUCUGGGAAAGAUAUUGUUUCGGUGGGGGAUGGGCUCGCGGCCUAUCAGCUUGUUGGUGGGGGGAUGGCCUACCAAGGCGGUGACGGGUAGCCGGCCUGAGAGGGUGGACGGUCAUACUGGGAAGGAGACACGGCCCAGACUCCGACGGGAGGCAGCAGUGGGGAAUAUUGCACAAUGGGCGCAAGCCUGAUGCAGCGACGCCGCGUGAGGGAUGGAGGCCUUCGGGUUGUGAACCUCUUUCGCCAGUGAAGCAGGCCUGCCUCGUUUGUGGGUGGGUUGACGGUAGCUGGAUAAGAAGCGCCGGCUAACUACGUG